rnacentral:rRNA from 1 species
UGGGGAAUAUUGCACAAUGGGCGAAAGCCUGAUGCAGCAACGCCGCGUGAGUGAUGAAGGCCUUCGGGUUGUAAAGCUCUGUCUUUUGGGACGAUAAUGACGGUACCAAAGGAGGAAGCCACGGCUAACUACGUGCCAGCAGCCGCGGUAAUACGUAGGUGGCAAGCGUUGUCCGGAUUUACUGGGCGUAAAGGAUGCGUAGGCGGAUUUUUAAGUGAGAUGUGAAAUACCCGGGCUUAACUUGGUGCUGCAUUUCAAACUGGGAAUCUAGAGUGCGGGAGAGGAGAAUGGAAUUCCUAGUGUAGCGGUGAAAUGCGUAGAGAUUAGGAAGAACACCAGUGGCGAAGGCGAUUCUCUGGACCGUAACUGACGCUGAGGCAUGAAAGCGUGGGUAGCAAACAGGAUUAGAUACCCUGGUAGUCCACGCCGUAAACGAUGAGUACUAGGUGUAGGAGGUAUCGACCCCUUCUGUGCCGCAGUUAACACAAUAAGUACUCCGCCUAGGAAGUACGAUCGCAAGAUUAAAACUUAAAAUGAAUUGACGGGGGUCAUAGCUGUUUUCCU